rnacentral:tRNA from 1 species
GGGUAUAUAGCUCAGUGGUAGAGUGUGUGCUUAGCGUGUACGAGGUCCUGGGUUCAAUCCCCUGUACCUCCA